GGGCGCUUAGCUCAGUUGGUAGAGCGGAGCCCUUACAAGGCUUAGGUCGGGAGUUCGACCCUCUCAGCGCCCACCA
rnacentral:tRNA from 1 species